GAUGAACGCUGGCGGCGUGCCUAAUACAUGCAAGUCGAGCGAACAGACGAGGAGCUUGCUCCUCUGACGUUAGCGGCGGACGGGUGAGUAACACGUGGUUAACCUACCUAUAAUACUGGGAUAACUUCGGGAAACCGGAUCUAAUACCGGAUAAUAUAUUGAACCGCAUGGUUCAAUAGUGAAAGACGGUUUUGCUGUCACUUAUAGAUGGAUCCGCGCCGCAUUAGCUAGUUGGUAAGGUAACGGCUUACCAAGGCAACGAUGCGUAGCCGACCUGAGAGGGUGAUCGGCCACACUGGAACUGAGACACGGUCCAGACUCCUACGGGAGGCAGCAGUAGGGAAUCUUCCGCAAUGGGCGAAAGCUUGACGGAGCAACGCCGCGUGAGUGAUGAAGGUCUUCGGAUCGUAAAACUCUGUUAUUAGGGAAGAACAAAUGUGUAAGUAACUAUGCACGUCUUGACGGUACCUAAUCAGAAAGCCACGGCUAACUACGUG
rnacentral:rRNA from 1 species